rnacentral:lncRNA from 1 species
CUUUGCUUGGGUUGUCUCCCAAGAAGCACCUAAUUUAGUGUCGCAACACGACCCAAACAACUUUUUUCUCCACCUUGAGGAUAUAAAUUUUACCCCCAACAUCGCUUCCAUCUCUUUGCCUCGCUCAUAGGGUGAUGGUACAAAAAUUAAAGAAUCAAGUAAUAGAAUGUGCAUGGUAAACCACUCGGCCUUAAAGUGAGGUGUGUUUUUCUGUUGGUUAUCAGGUGUAAAAUCAAGAACAUAGGAUUCUUGUUCCUCAUCUUCACACUCUUCCACUAUUUUAAAUGAUUUCACAAACAAGAUAUCAUCUAAACAUAAUGUAGAAAAGUGCUUUCAGUGAG